GGUUGAGAGUGAGACCAUGGGGGAGAAGUAUGGCACUUAGUUGGUCAUGGACAAAUUGAGUGUUUUUAGUUGUGGAUGAGGGGCAGGAUUCUGGUAAUAUGAGAUUGUUAGUAGCAUUAUGUCAUGAAAAAGAAAAAAGGCAGUGAAACACUUAACAAGGCAAAAUAAACAACAAAAUAAGGUGAACAUAUUGCUGGAAAACAGUUAUUUGUAUAGUUACUUCAUAAUAAUAUAUUAAUUGUAAUGAGCAUUUAUGAAUUCUAACUGUUUUGUCUCUAUAUGCCAUUUUCCAAUUGAUCAAGACAUUAGAGGAUAAUACAUUAUUAGGGUUUAACAAAUCCUUAUGACACUUAACUGUUAUACCACAUAAUAAUCACAUAAUACAUUAUACCUGGAGGGUGUAAAUAGUGUCAUUGAAUUACAUAUUUAUAUUGUGGACUGACAAUUUUAUUUUUUAUACACUCAAUACCAUUUAGAAAGUGUUCUCCCAUUUUUUAUUUGGCUCUAUACGCCCAGUAUUAUACUUUAUUUUAGAUGACAUUUAUUUUAAUUUUACUUGAAGACACGGUAAGUAAUGUCACCUCUAAUAUUGGGAUAUUUGUUUUUGUACAUACUGUAUCUGCUUUAUCAUUUGAAAACACUUAAUGUGCCUAUACACCCCUUUUGAAGUGACUGAACUAUUUAGAACAAAUUCACUUACAAACUCACUACAAUAAGAUUGUUAUUUGACGGCAUCACUAACAGACUUUACAUAAAACUUUGGAGUGUUGAAAGCAGCAAACCUUUUUUUAAUCAGUUAACACAUGGCUCAGACACCAGGACACACUACAACAUCUGGGGUUGUCACGUUCACGGCAGCCUGCCUUGCCAGGGAAUCCAAUGCCCUCUCUUCCUCACACCUGUUUUUGUUAAUUAUUGCCCGCACCUGUUUUCCCUCAUCACGGACCCUAUUUUAGUUCCAGCUUCCCCAAUAGUCCUUGGGGAAGGACUAACAUUGUUUUUUCUUGUCUGGCGAUUUAAUUUUGGGUUUGUCAUGUUUUUGUUCCUUUAUUAAAUGUCCUUUGUUCUCCUUAAGCUUGUGUCCUGCCUCACCAAUCUUCAACAUUACAGGUUUGUCUUCUCAGUCCCAAGGUCUGGGACAGUGGCUCAGAAACUUAGAGUACUUUCUUAAACCAUGACCACAUGUAACACACUUAAAAUGUAUUAAUGUAAUUGAGUGCUUUGUUUAUUGUCAUACUUUCUUAGAUAGUGGAAAGAGAAUGGAAAGUUUUUGGUGAAGUUGCAGUGGGCAAGAUUCGGACCAUACUGCAACACUAUUUAUUCAGGUGUUCCAGUACACAGAACAUGAACACAUCUUUCAGGAGAAGCCAAAGCAGAGCAGGAAGACCAAUACCAGGGAGAUGCCCAUCAGAGACACAGACGCC